UAAAUAGUAUAACGAUUAGAAGAAAGGUGUACCAUACAUCUAAUAUUAAUUAUUAUAGCAUACCUAUAGCGAAUAAGUACUGUAAAGGAAAGUUGAAAGAGAAAUAAGUGAAAUAGAACUUGAAAUUCGUUAACUAACAAGCGGACGAAUGUCGUCGUACCUUUUGUAUAAUGGGUUCGCAAGAAAAAUAUUUGGCAAACUUAAGUCAAUAAAUGCAGGUGUAGCGAAAGCAAGUAUAAAUUAUGCGUUUAGUUAAAUAUUACCCGAAACCAAGGGAUCUAAUUAUGAAUAGUUUGAAACCUUCUUAAUUGACGGGUGGAAGAACGAACCGGUGAUUGUGGCAAAAAUCUCGGAUAAUUUGUGAUUAGGGGUGAAAAGCCAAUCGUCCUUGGAAUAGCUGGUUUUCUGCGAAAACUAUAGAAGUAGUGUGCCAUAUUGUAUUCUAACAAGGUAAAGCACUGAAUAAACUUAGGGGGUUUAUCCUUACUAAGUAAAAUCAAACUAUGAAUGUGUUAGAAGAAAUUUAUGACAAACAGACAAUUCGCGAGAAGGUGGAUUGUCAAAAGGGACACAACCCAGAUCAGAAGUUAAGGUCACAAAUAAUAUCUAAGUGUAAAAGGGGCAGAAUCUGGAACCCGAAGUAGGGUCGACUUAGAUAAUGAGAAAGUAGGCUUGGAACCAGCCAUCUUAAAUAGAUUACGUAAUAGUUCACUCAAUAAGUUGGUUAGCCCCUAAAAUUUUGAUGGCUUAAGAAAAAGAAAGUCAAUAAACCCAAACUCUGAAAUUAUAAUUUGGUAGCAGAACGUUUUGUUAUAGAGUAAGCGAUAGCUAAAAUCAAAAGUGAUAAUGCGAACAUGAGUAAAAUACAGUGUGAUAAUCGCUGCUCAAUCGACCUAAGGUUUCCAAUUAAAGGAUUAACCGAAUUGGAUUAUUCAGUCCCUAAAAUUAAUCGAUGGGGGAACUCAUUUAAGCGCUGCGGGCGUCAGGAAAUAAUAUUAGAUCACAAUAAAGGAUGACUGUACUAUAAACUAACACAAGGGGGUCGAAUUGAUGGUUGAAUUUAUCUUAAGGAACUCGGCAAAUUGUCUCUGUAAGUUCGCAAGAAAGAGAGUCAAAACUUAACAACUCAUUAGGGGUUAAGUUAGAUCGCAGAAAACAGGGGGUGUUGACUGUUUACCAAAAACAUAGCUUCCAGCAAAUUUUAAUAAAAAUUAAGUAUUGGAAGUGAGGCCUGCCCAAUGAUUGUAUCCUAACUUAAAUAAUAAACUGGGAUAAAGUUAUUUGAUUAAGGACAAUUCAAUGGCCGCGGUAAAACUGACCGUGAUAAUGUAGCGCAAUCCAUAGCCAAUUAAUUGUUGGCAAGUAUGAAUGGCUUAACAAGCGCCCCGCUGUCUCAAGAUAAAAACCUGUGAAAUUGGAGCCGUAGUGAAGAUACUACGUACAAAUUGUUAGACGAGAAGACCCCAUUGAGCUUUACUGGAAAUUUAUAUAAUUCUUUUUUUAUUAAUGUGUAGAUUAUGUGGGAACUAAACAAUAGUUUUGACUUUAAUGAAAAACCACUUUUUAAUAAUUUAAGGUUCAAAAAAAAAGUAAAAGUGUAAAGCAGACAGUUUAGUUGGGGCGACUGCCUUCUAAAUAGUAACGAAGGUGUACAAAGGUGAAUAAAAUAAUAGAUUUAGUUUAAAGCCUGACAGCGAGGAUAAUUUUCCGAGCUGACACGAAGAUUUAUUAGGGAUGAUUUUUCGUGGGUUAUAAUGACCCGUUAGUAUUAAAUGGGAAAGCUAACGAUCAACGGAUAAAAGUUACCAUGGGGAUAACAGCGUAAUAUCGUUCGAGAGUUCAUAUCGACAACGAUGUUUGCGACCUCGAUGUUGAAUUGUGGUAUCCUGGGGGUGCAGCCGCCCCCAAGGGUUGGACUGUUCGUCCAUUAAAACCGCACAUGAUUUGAGUUCAGAUCGGCGUGAGCCAGAUCGGUUUCUAUCUACAAUUUGUAAAGGAAACAUAGAUAUCUCUAUUUUCUAGUACGAAAGGACCGAAUAAUUAGUUGUCCUCUGGUGCCCAAUUUAA
rnacentral:rRNA from 1 species